rnacentral:rRNA from 1 species
UACGUAGGGUGCAAGCGUUGUCCGGAAUUAUUGGGCGUAAAGGGCUCGUAGGCGGUUUGUCGCGUCGGGAGUGAAAUCCACUGGCUUAACUGGUGGCUUGCUUUCGAUACGGGCAGACUGGAGGUAUGCAGGGGAGAACGGAAUUCCUGGUGUAGCGGUGAAAUGCGCAGAUAUCAGGAGGAACACCGGUGGCGAAGGCGGUUCUCUGGGCAUGUCCUGACGCUGAGAAGCGAAAGCGUGGGGAGCGAACAGG